CCUCCGCGCCCCACACUUCGCACCGCGCGGCUCGCCGGCGCCUCUAUCUAUUUUGUGUCCAGCCCCAGCCGCGCGCCGUGAUUCAUGGCCCCAAUUAGGGGCCCUCCCGCUCCAGCGCCUGCGGCUCCAGGGUCUCCUGGGGACCUGGGACACCCGGCAGCGUCCCAGGCUGGUUUUUCAGCAGAGGUCAAGCGGGACGUGGGAGGAGCCAGAAUCUGUCUGGCUCUGGGAGACACCAUCCCCCACCCGGCCCGCCCUCUCGCCUAAUCCAAGGAUUUUGCCGUGAACUUCAGGGCCUCGUAAAACGCCUUUGAUAAACGAUCACCGCCGGCAGUGCUGACCUGUGAGGGGAGGACAGCAGACGCUCCGCAUAAAUCCCCCGAGCUCCGAGCUCCGAGCUCCGAGACACACUUGCCGCUGCCGCCUGCUCCUCUACGGAUGGCUGAUCGGGCAGCAGCAACACAGCGGUCAGCGCCGGGGUGGUUCCCACAUGUCCAAGCCUCAUGGGGCCUGGGGACGGUGGGCGUGGGUGAGCGAGGAGGGGAGGGACAGACGUGGACGGUAGCAGGGGGUCCUGGUGUGCCGCAGUGUGAACAAGAAGCCAGUUUGUGUCUCAGGACUCGUUUACGGGGAGUCGCUGGAUGCAGAAUGAGCUGCUUCCCUCAGGUCUCGCAACAAAACAUCUGAAAAGAGGGCUGUGCUGUUGAGCACCUUGACGCAUGGGAGGGACGCUGAUGCCUGCAACAGUGACCGUGUCCCCGCGGUCCCUGAGCUGGGUGGUGUCGGCCAGCCUGGCCUGGGCGCCUCACUCACCACCCGGCUGCAGGCCCACCUUGCCUGACCCAUCCCCAUAAAGGCAUCCUUGUCCCUUGCUGGGUCCUGCCAAUGAAGCUGAUGGUCGGAGCUCACUGGCUGCCUUCUGGACCUGCCCAUGGCUCCACCGGCGGCCGUCACCCUAAGCCUGGGGUCCCCAAGCCCGGGUACUGGAGCUCUACAGUGGGCUGGCACAGGAGGGCCAGGAAGUGAGCGGCCCCAGAUUCUUUCCAGCUGUUCUCUGAGUCACUGCAGUGUGUUCCAAGCCCAGCUGCCAGCUGCCUCCCUGGCCUGUUAUUUAUGCAGUUGCUGAGCUGUUGCUGGACUCAUCGACGGGAAUGUACGGUGGCCCUGAAGCUUGUAUCUAGUGUUCAACUGGGGUGUUGUGUUUCUUAAAAACUCUAACUGAAGUUUCGCCCCUCGACAGAAACAGGGCAUCUCGCCGAGUUCUCCCAAGCUGGACACCCCAGUGGGGUCACCUAGAAGUGCCACGAGUCCAGCUCCCAGCAGCGUGCCUGCUGUCAGGCUCCUGUGUCCCCCUGCCGAGAGUGAGGACUCACAGGCAGGACUGCAGGCGCCCCAAGUUCUGACUCCGGACUUCUUAGCCGCUCUAUCGAGGUACAGCCCACAGCCCCACAGCUCCCAGUCCGUGUGAGUGAAUUCACCGCAUUGUGCAGCCCCAGCGCAGCCGGUUCCAGACCGCUUUCCUCACCCGGAAGAGAAACCUCGUCCUGGUCGUCAUCCCGUCCGUCUGUCGCGCCCUCCCAGCACCUGGCACCUGGAUUCACCUUCUGUCCCUGUGGACUGGCCUGCUCUGGACGCUUUGCACCAAGGAGAUCGUGCAGCCCCGGCUCUUUGCAUCUGGCUCUUCUGCUUUUCAUAGCGUUUCCAAGGGUGGCUGGGUCGUGGCUUGAGGUGGUGCGGGCCAUGUUUGUACCGUUGAGGUAGAAGUUCACCACACGUGAUCUUGGGGUCCAACUUCCUGCUCCAUGUUACGUCUGUGAAAAUCUCCCGUUUGGGGUGCUUUGCUUUUUAUUCUGUGAUGCUGGAGUUGGAACCCAGGCCUCUAGUGUGCUGAGACUGUGCUCCACCUGAGCGCACCCCAACCCCGCCCUGUGCUCUCGAGCAGCAGCCCUCUCUCCUGUUUGGUGAUGCACAGUGGUCCCCUGGUGGAGAGUCUGCUGUGCCUUAUCCAUUGUUGGGCUUGAGGGAGUCUCCAUCCGAAGCUGGGGCCUGGAGUGGUUUUUUCCUAAGCAUUGAGUCCAUGCCUUUUCUUGAAAACACAUAAUACGGCCGGGUGGGUGGUGACAUACACCUUGUAAUCCCAGCACUCAGGAGGCUGAGGCAGGAGGGUCUCUGCAAGCCUGGGCUACAUAAUGAGUUCAAGACCAGCCUGGACUGCGUAGCAAGACCCUGUCUCCAAAAAAAAAGAAAGAAAGAGGAAGCACACAAUGCCUUUCUCUUUGGUAGACACCUAAGGGCAGACUUGCUGACCUGGAGGUGGGUGCGCGCGCACUCUGCGGCACACUGACGCACUCUCGGUCACACUCUGGCGGCUGCUGUGACCCCCAGGCUCCCGGUUCCCAGCCCUGUCACCCCCGCAGCUGCCUGCCCACCGGCCGGCCUGGCCCCUCAGUCCACCGCCCACCUGAGCCCGGGGAGGCCCCACAGGCGGCAGAGGACAGGGCUUGGUGGCCGUGUUUUCCUUGGGCCGUGCACGCACAUGCGGCUUUUCUGCCCUGGCUCCGACACUGUGUUCCUUUCACAGGCCAGAAAUACACAGGCAGGCUCGCUCUGAAAGGGGAAACACGGUUUUGCAUUCCAACCCGCCCAGGUCUUCUCGUGAUGGGGAACGUUCCAGCUGUCCCAGGGCAGGCUCCCCCAAACAGUAGCGCUCAGUCCCUGGCGAGCUCCACUCUGGGCUCAGCUCCUCCUGCCCAGGGGGUUGGACGGGCGCAGGCUGCAGGCAGCAGUGCCCUGUGGCGCAUGUGUCUCCAAGGGAGGCUCAGAGUCUGGUCCAGAACCGCAGGCAUCAUCCCAAGCCAUCCUUCCAGUGCCCAGUGAGAUGAGCGCACAGAUAAAUCCUGCAUCUCAGAUGUGCACAUUUGAGCACAGGAGCUAGCUUGCCCCGCGUCACACAGCUUCUAAGCCACAGAUCUGGGAUUCCAGCCCAGGCUGUCUCUCCGGAGCCCACACUGAGAACCGCAUGGCUUUGUCUCUGACUUCAGACUCCAGCCGUGCGUUCUGGCUCUGCCAGACUCACAUUUCCCUGGUCCACUUGGAUGUGGGAGCAGCCACGCCUCAC
rnacentral:lncRNA from 1 species